rnacentral:rRNA from 1 species
CCUACGGUAGGCAGCAGUGGGGGAUAUUGCACAAUGGGGGAAACCCUGAUGCAGCGACGCCGCGUGUGGGAAGACGGUCCUCUGUAUUGUAAACCACUGUCCCCAGGUACAAAGAUGACGUUACCUGGGGAGGAAGCUCCGGCUAACUACGUACCAGCACCCGCGUUAUUACGUAGGGAGCGAGCGUUGCCCGGAAUUACUGGUUGUAAAGGGAGCGUAGGCGGGACUGCAAGUUGGGUGUAAAAUCUACCGGCUCAACCGGUAGCCGCACUCAAAACUGCAGUUCUGGAGUGAAGUAGAGGCAGGCGGAAUUCCUAGUGUAGCGGUGAAAUGCGUAGAUAUUAGGAGGAACACCAGUGGCGAAGGCGGCCUGCUGGGCUUUUACUGACGCUGAGGCUCGAAAGUGUGGGGAGCAAACAGGAUUAGAUACCCUAGUAGUC